GAUGAACGCUGGCGGCGUGCCUAAUACAUGCAAGUCGAGCGAACGGACGAGAAGCUUGCUUUUCUGAUGUUAGCGGCGGAAGGGUGAGUAACACGUGGAUAACCUACCUAUAAGACUGGGAUAACUUCGGGAAACCGGAGCUAAUACCGGAUAAUAUUUUGAACCGCAUGGUUCAAAAGUGAAAGACGGUCUUGCUGUCACUUAUAGAUGGAUCCGCGCUGCAUUAGCUAGUUGGUAAGGUAACGGCUUACCAAGGCAACGAUGCAUAGCCGACCUGAGAGAGUGAUCGGCCACACUGGAACUGAGACAGGGUCCGGCCUCCUACGGGGGGCAGCAGUAGGGAAUCUUCCGCAAGGGGCGAAAGCCUGACGGAGCAACGCCGCGUGAGUGAUGAAGGUCUUCGGAUCGUAAAACUCUGUUAUUAGGGAAGAACAUAUGUGUAAGUAACUGUGCACAUCUUGACGGUACCUAAUCAGAAAGCCACGGCUAACUACGUG
rnacentral:rRNA from 1 species